GACCGAAGGAAGCAUGGUAAUGUGUAUAGAAAUUGAGUUGGUCUCUAGGCUUGCCCUCUCUGAUGCCUUCCGACUUUGAUUUGGGGGUAUGGUUCCGCAUCAAAAUG